rnacentral:lncRNA from 1 species
AUGUACGUACUGUGUCUGUUCUUCCAACAGCUCUGCUUUGCUGUGCCCCAUGUCAAGAAUGGAGGAGGUGCUGGGAGCAGCAGUGUGUCUCCCUUAGCACAGUCUGUGAUGGGAUGGAUGCAAGACACAGCUGGAGGAGGAAGGAAAAGCUUUUCCAACCCCCAUCCAAGCUUUGUGUGUUUGCACAGAGCUGGAUGUUGGAAUCAGAGAGCAGCCACCACAAGGAAAGAAAGGAUGUGGAGUUUGUGGCUUAGCCACGGAUGUCAGGCCCCUCACAACAUCCAUCUGUGCUGCAGAGAAAGAACCCCAGGGCUGGGGAGUUCUGAAACACCAGCUGCCACCACAGGAAGGAAGGGAUCCCGUGACUGACCCCGUGACCCCUCUUGCCUCCUCAGCUCUUGAGAGGCAUCUCUUGGUGAGUGGAGAAAGGUUACUCAGACACCUUUUCCUACCUCUUUUUCUUUUCCCCCUUUCACUGUGCAUUUCAUUCUCUCUUGAGCACCUUCUGCAAUGCUUCAGUUUCAUUUGAGCUCCACGGUGGUACUGACCCAGUUGUGUCUUGGCUAUGUGAGGGGACAGAUUCCAUGCAUGUCAAGGUUCUUGCCUCAUUCAGGGGGAAGAAGGGGCAUUUAUUCCAGAGGCUCCAAGCCUCUGACCAGCCAGUUUGAUAGCACCAAGUCCCCAAAUCCUGUGUGCCCAAAUCCCUACCCUGCCCUGGUGGUGCAGUGUGUGGUGUUAGAGCACAGCAGCCUGCUCAAGGCACGGGGUGCAAUGAGAUGUUCUUCAAGGUCCCCUUCCAACCUAAACCAUUCUAGGGAUCUCUUGGAAUUCUCAGUUUAGUAAGAGUGAAAAAUGCAAAAUAGGUUAAAUUGAGAAGGGAUGUGCAGGAUCAAGCUUUUAGUGCUGGCUUGACUUUGACAGGGGAAAAGGUCACCUCCCUUUGGGCAGCCUGGUCUGCUUCCCCCUCUCCACAGCUGUAGGACAGAGGGCCUGGAUGAGUCCCCUGGGGAUUU